CAGAUAGUAGUUUAAAACAAAACAUUGGCAUUGGAAGUCAAAAAACAAGAUAUCUUGCUAUCUGA